rnacentral:rRNA from 1 species
UACGGGAGGCAGCAGUGGGGAAUAUUGCACAAUGGGCGCAAGCCUGAUGCAGCCAUGCCGCGUGUGUGAAGAAGGCCUUCGGGUUGUAAAGCACUUUCAGUCGUGAGGAAGGUAGUGUAGUUAACACCUGCAUUAUUUGACGUUAGCGACAGAAGAAGCACCGGCUAACUCCGUGCCAGCAGCCGCGGUAAUACGGAGGGUGCGAGCGUUAAUCGGAAUUACUGGGCGUAAAGCGCAUGCAGGUGGUUUGUUAAGUCAGAUGUGAAAGCCCGGGGCUCAACCUCGGAAUAGCAUUUGAAACUGGCAGACUAGAGUACUGUAGAGGGGGUAGAAUUUCAGGUGUAGCGGUGAAAAUGCGUAGAGAUCUGAAGGAAUACCGGUGGCGAAGGCGGCCCCCUGGACAGAUACUGACACUCAGAUGCGAAAGCGUGGGGAGCAAACAGGAUUAGAUACCCUGGUAG